AGAGAGAGAGAAAAUAAUCUGAAAAGGCCGCAACAACUUUUAGGCGAUACAGGUGCGGAGGAGGUUGGUCGCUUACUGGCGGAGGGUGCCGGAGGUGAACAUCUCGGUGAUGAAGUUGAUGUUGCGGCGGGAGACGUCGACCCAGGAGGUGUAGAACUUCAUGAUGUUGCGGUGCUUGAGCGUCUUGAGAAGGUGGAUCUCGCAGUAGAGCCGCUCCAGGUCCUCGGGGCUCUGCAGGAAGUCGUGCAGCUUCACCUGGUUCCACGCCACCUCCAUCCCCUGGUACUCGUCGAACGCCCGGUACCUGCAGUCCCCGCACACGCACCUCGGAUCAGGGACUCAGUGGGCAAGCAAGAUUGAAAGCACGCAGCUUUGGCGAGAACAGCGCCGGAUCUUACACAAUCUUGGACGCGCCCUUGCCAAGAACGUCGCUGAACUGCGUUAAACAAGGAGGAAAGAUGCAGGGAAACGGAUCAGCGGAUUGGUGAGCAGACGGGUCAAACAACGGUGGUAGGAGUAGCUACAGUGGUAGCGGCGAUUCCAUACCCGUCCGUACCGGCCGGUGGGGUCGACCUCCGCAUACUCCGGGCACGGGCCGGCGGCGUUGGCCUUGGCGCCUAUCAUUCUUGCGGCUCUAGCUCGCUUCUUCGGUUCUUCCCCUGCACUGCAGCUCCAACUCCACCGCCGAGGAGAG
rnacentral:misc_RNA from 1 species